GUAUAUAACCGUGUAAGUAAUAAUGUGCACAUUUCUUCAGUAAAUAAUAUACAUAAGUACAAAUAACAAUACUAAAGAGCUUCCCCUUUUUCUCCACUAAGUUGGUCUAGGACUAUUACUUUUGUAUUGCUUUUGCAUAUUAACAUGCUUUAGACAUAUUUUAUGUGUUAUUUAUACUAGUAGCCUACUGUGAUGAUUUUUCACGUCCCAGAUAUUUUGAUGCCCCCCCAGACGCUUGGUGCCCACGUGCAGUGCGUGAUGUGCGUGUGCGGAGCGCCGGCGCUGCACAGGACAUAACCUCCGUUAGUUAUAGUCCGAGUUAUUUCCCACAACCCAAGAAACACUAUGGAUGUUUGUUCCUUCUUCUUGUCUGUGUUGGCAUCAGCAACGUUGCAUCGCCUCCUCCUACUUGUAUUCUUCUUAAAGACGUCCUCUGUGUAAGUGGUGCAACACGUCCAGCGGCCUCGCUCACUGCUUUCUGCCGCCCGUGUUUCUUCAUGCUGAUGACCUGCAGGACGUGGACAUUUCGGUAGCUCGACUAAGCGUUUGGUUCUACGUCGCUCCAUCCCGUCAUGUUACUCCCGGGGUCAUGGGCUCCUGCUGUGCGGGGGGAGGGGGCCCCGGGCAUGCAGGGUUGGUGGACGGGGUCGUGGGGGAUGGUGUCACCACUGCCCCAUUGUCUGUUGUUCAAAGCAACCAAAAACCCGUCCAGCUCGUUUGCCAGGCGGAGGUCACUCUUGGAGUGGGGGGAGGUGGGGUGGGGGGCUCUAGUGUCGGGGAUCUAUCUGAGGCCUCUCAUGACGGAGCAGAAUCACUUGCUGACAGCUGGAAUGAGAGUUUCUCCGCUCGCUGUGAUCCUUGUGCCUGUUCUUUGUGGAACCGUGGCUGUCUGAGUUCUGCUGUGAACCAGGUCCCCGUUGUUAGAACUCACCCUGGUGCUUGUUCUUCAAAGGAGCGGAUGUAUGACGUCCCUGCACCUCGUACUCAUCCUAACUGUUGGUAGUAGAGCUGAGAACAUCCCUACAUAUAUAUAUAUACAUUCAUGUACUAAAAGUAUUUUGUAAAACUAAACUGCAAGUAAAUGUAAACCAAAUACUGCAUGAACAUGGAUGUAGUCUUUCAUCAUCCACACGGGUGACUUAAGGGCACUUGUGAAGCUGGGUGUCCGUCCAGGCCACACA
ensembl:lncRNA